AUUGAACGCUGGCGGCAGGCCUAACACAUGCAAGUCGAGCGGAUGAAGGGAGCUUGCUCCUGGAUUCAGUGGCGGACGGGUGAGUAAUGCCUAGGAAUCUGCCUGGUAGUGGGGGAUAACGUCCGGAAACGGGCGCUAAUACCGCAUACGUCCUGAGGGAGAAAGUGGGGGAUCUUCGGACCUCACGCUAUCAGAUGAGCCUAGGUCGGAUUAGCUAGUUGGUGGGGUAAAGGCCUACCAAGGCGACGAUCCGUAACUGGUCUGAGAGGAUGAUCAGUCACACUGGAACUGAGACACGGUCCAGACUCCUACGGGAGGCAGCAGUGGGGAAUAUUGGACAAAGGGCGAAAGCCUGAUCCAGCCAUGCCGCGUGUGUGAAGAAGGUCUUCGGAUUGUAAAGCACUUUAAGUUGGGAGGAAGGGCAGUAAGUUAAUACCUUGCUGCUUUGACGUUACCAACAGAAUAAGCACCGGCUAACUUCGUG
rnacentral:rRNA from 1 species